rnacentral:rRNA from 1 species
UUAUAGGAUAUUACUUUUCAGUGAAUACAUAGCUGAUUAGAGGUAGACGCAGAGAACUGAAACAUCUUAGUACCUGCAGGAAGAGAAAGAAAAUUCGAUUCCCUGAGUAGCGGCGAGCGAAACGGGAAGAGCCCAAACCAACAAGCUUGCUUGUUGGGGUUGUAGGACUCCGAUAUGGUAGUCUGUUAGUAUAGUUGAAGGAUUUGGAAAAUUCCGCUAAAGAGGGUGAAAGCCCCGUAGACGAAAUGCUGACAACACCUAGGAGGAUCCUGAGUACGGCGGAACACGAGAAAUUCCGUCGGAAUCCGCGGGGACCAUCCCGCAAGGCUAAAUACUCCCUAGUGACCGAUAGUGAACCAGUACCGUGAGGGAAAGGUGAAAAGCACCCCGGAAGGGGAGUGAAAUAGAUCCUGAAACCGUGUGCCUACAACAAGUCAAAGCUCGUUAAUGAGUGAUGGCGUGCCUUUUGUAGAAUGAACCGGCGAGUUACGAUUGCAUGCGAGGUUAAGUCGAAGAGACGGAGCCGCAGCGAAAGCGAGUCUGAAUAGGGCGAAUGAGUAUGUAGUCGUAGACCCGAAACCAUGUGAUCUACCCAUGUCCAGGUUGAAGGUGCGGUAAAACGCACUGGAGGACCGAACCCACGUACGUUGAAAAGUGCGGGGAUGAGGUGUGGGUAGCGGAGAAAUUCCAAACGAACUUGGAGAUAGCUGGUUCUCUCCGAAAUAGCUUUAGGGCUAGCCUCGGAAUUGAGAAUGAUGGAGGUAGAGCACUGUUUGGACUAGGGGCCCAUCUCGGGUUACCGAAUUCAGAUAAACUCCGAAUGCCAUUCAUUUAUAUCCGGGAGUCAGACUGCGAGUGAUAAGAUCCGUAGUCGAAAGGGAAACAGCCCAGACCACCAGCUAAGGUCCCAAAAUAUAUGUUAAGUGGAAAAGGAUGUGGGGUUGCACAGACAACUAGGAUGUUGGCUUAGAAGCAGCCACCAUUUAAAGAGUGCGUAAUAGCUCACUAGUCGAGUGACCCUGCGCCGAAAAUGUACCGGGGCUAAACAUAUUACCGAAGCUGUGGACUACACCAUUAGGUGUAGUGGUAGGAGAGCGUUCUAAGGGCGUUGAAGGUCGAUCGUGAGGACGGCUGGAGCGCUUAGAAGUGAGAAUGCCGGUAUGAGUAGCGAAAGACAGGUGAGAAUCCUGUCCACCGUAUGACUAAGGUUUCCUGGGGAAGGCUCGUCCGCCCAGGGUUAGUCGGGACCUAAGCCGAGGCCGAUAGGCGUAGGCGAUGGACAACAGGUUGAUAUUCCUGUACCAGUUGUUUUUGUUUGAGCAAUGGAGGGACGCAGUAGGCUAAGGAAUGCAUGCGAUUGGAAGUGCAUGUCCAAGCAAUGAGUCUUGAGUAGAGUUAAAUGCUUUACUCUUUAAGGACAAGUUGUGACGGGGAGCGAAAUAAUAGUAGCGAAGUUCCUGAUGUCACACUGCCAAGAAAAGCUUCUAGUGAGAAAACAACUGCCCGUACCGUAAACCGACACAGGUAGUCGAGGAGAGUAUCCUAAGGUGAGCGAGCGAACUCUCGUUAAGGAACUCGGCAAAAUGACCCCGUAACUUCGGGAGAAGGGGUGCUGACUUCGGUCAGCCGCAGUGAAUAGGCCCAAGCGACUGUUUAUCAAAAACACAGGUCUCUGCAAAAUCGUAAGAUGAAGUAUAGGGGCUGACGCCUGCCCGGUGCUGGAAGGUUAAGAGGAUGGGUUAGCUUCGGCGAAGCUCAGAAUUGAAGCCCCAGUAAACGGCGGCCGUAACUAUAACGGUCCUAAGGUAGCGAAAUUCCUUGUCGGGUAAGUUCCGACCCGCACGAAAGGCGUAACGAUUUGGGCACUGUCUCAACGAGAGACUCGGUGAAAUUUUAGUACCUGUGAAGAUGCAGGUUACCCGCGACAGGACGGAAAGACCCCAUGGAGCUUUACUGUAGUUUGAUAUUGAGUGUUUGUACCACAUGUACAGGAUAGGUAGGAGCCGAUGAGACCGGA